UACACUUAAAAAUAAAAUUAAACAGAUUUGGUUUUGGUCUUUUUUCUUAGUUUUGAUAAUAUUUAAACACAUGGUAUUCUACAAGUAACAGUAAAUAUACAGAAAAAGAGAUAAUAUAGUCAGUUAAACACAUAAUAUUUAUUCUUUUUCUUAGCAUAAUUCUCAUAAUAAUACGCUUAAUAAUAUUUACUAUACGCCAGUGUUGGAGAUUGAAUUAUAAAUUAUAGUUUGAUUCAGUAAUUAACUAUUUAGGUCUGGUAAAGUUUGUGCCAGCCACCGCGGUUAGACAAACAAGGCCAAAUUAAGAUAAGUACAGUAAAAAAGGGGGUUAGGGAAUCAAAGGCCAAUAUAUGCUGUCGAUUUCAUAAAAAAGAUUAUGUAUUUUGUAGAGGUGGAAUUUGUGCAAAAUAAAUAACCUUUUACUUUUUUUAUCCUGAGGCCCCGAAAUCUUAGCCAAAAACCGGGAUUAGAUACCCCGUUAUUUAAGAUGUAAAUUUUAAUUCACAUAUUUUACUCGAGUAUUACGGGUUCUGUAAAUUUAAUAUAGAAUAAACCUAAAACUCAAAAAACUUGGCGGUGCCUUAAAUCCUUUCAGGGGAACCUGUCCUAUAAUCGAUAGUCCACGAUUUACCUUUCCUUUUUUUGAAUAAACUCAGUCUGUAUACCGUCGUCGCCAGAUUACCUCUAAGAGUAAAGAAGUUAUCUAAAAGAAAACCAUAAAGAUAAGAUCCGAUUUUAUACCAUAAAAUCACCUAGUCUUCAUGUUCUCUAAACGUCAGAUCAAGGUGCAGCCUAUAAAAAGGAAGAGAUGGGUUACAAUAAAUAAUUAUUAUCACGAAUUUCCUUUUGUAAAAUAAAGGUCUAAAGGAGGACUUGAAAGUAAUUAAUGAGAAGUAGAGAGUCUCGGUGAAAACGGCCCUAAGGCGUGCACACAUCGCCCGUCGCUCUCGUUGAAAAAUGAGAUAAGUCGUAACAUAGUGAGGGUACCGGAAGGUGCUCUUAGUGACAAUAAAUUAAAAAUCCCACUCUAUAGCUUAGUCCUUUAGUAAUAAUCCA
rnacentral:rRNA from 1 species